rnacentral:rRNA from 2 species
CUGCCUGUAAGACUGGGAUAACAUCGAGAAAUCGGUGCUAAUACCGGAUAAUAAAAAGAACUGCAUGGUUCUUUUUUGAAAGAUGGUUUCGGCUAUCACUUACAGAUGGGCCCGCGGCGCAUUAGCUAGUUGGUGGGGUAACGGCUCACCAAGGCGACGAUGCGUAGCCGACCUGAGAGGGUGAUCGGCCACACUGGGACUGAGACACGGCCCAGACUCCUACGGGAGGCAGCAGUAGGGAAUCUUCCGCAAUGGACGAAAGUCUGACGGAGCAACGCCGCGUGAGUGAUGAAGGUUUUCGGAUCGUAAAACUCUGUUGUUAGGGAAGAACAAGUGCCGUUCGAAAGGGCGGCACCUUGACGGUACCUAACGAGAAAGCCACGGCUAACUACGUGCCAGCAGCCGCGGUAAUACGUAGGUGGCAAGCGUUGUCCGGAAUUAUUGGGCGUAAAGCGCGCGCAGGCGGUCUCUUAAGUCUGA